AACUUGGCUCGGCUUUCCCUUGGCUCCGGGCUUCCUGCAAGCCGAAUUUAGCUCUGCCAAGCCACGUGGACCGCAGCGGGCUCGGCAGAGGCCGAGCCUGGGAGACGCCGGAGGCGGCGGCUGCGGCGCGGGGACCUGAUCGGCGCCCCGAGAGGAGCUCCCCGCUCUCUGGACGCGGCCCUCAAGCUGGCGGGGCUAAGGAAGAGCGCCCGGGAGGCCCGGGAGCCACUGGGGUCCGUUUCAGCAGGAAGACGGGCACGCACCGAGAGGAUGGCAGUGCCCAGAAGAACUCGAGUCGGGGGCACGGUGGGGAGAAGGGGCCGAUCCCCUGCUGGCGACCGGGCAGAGCCACCCACUUCCUCUAAGGGCGCGGGACUCGAGGUGGGAUUUAGGGAGGGGGAAGGGAGGAGCGUGGGCUGGACGACUCUUGCGGCCAGAACCGCGUUCAGAGCCACAGAGCCGGGCACUGCGGCCGGCCCUGGUCCCGGCCCCGGCCCUGGCCCAGCCCUUGCCCUGGCUCGCCUGCCGCCGCUUUUUCCUUCCAGAUGCGGAGGCUGCGGCUGGAGCUUGGGGUUUGCGGAUUAGGCUUGCAGUUAUUCAGCCCUCCCUCUUUUACAGGGAAGCGGGGGCGGUGGAGACUUCUUUUGCUGAAAGGCAGAGUGCAGCGCUUUGAUGCUAAAUGCAGUACACAAGUCAUGUAAAUCUGGUUUUACGGUUCUUAACCCCUUACUGAGACUACCUCUUUCGCAACUUUUCGGAGGAAUGUUAGAGGAAAGAGGCACAGUUUGCCUUUGGGGUCAUUGCAUCCUUCCAGCGCCCCUUGCUCCAGCUGGAGAGAGAUCAACCUUUUGCAGUGGAAGGGGAGAGUCCCCCAGCCUUUGUUUCAUCAGACGGCUGCUGUAGUACAGGGAUUCAGGCCAGGGCCCGCAUGGCCGGACUUCUUGGUUCAAAUCCUGCACUGCCACUCAACGGAUGUGUGAGCUUGGGCUAGUGACUGAACCUCCCAGCCUAGGUGACUCUGUGCCUCGGUGUCCUCAUCUGUGAGAACCGACCUAAGAAGUGUCUGUCUGAUAAAGCUGUUGUGAUGAGUUAGUGAAUUCGUACACAUAGAACCUUUAGAACUGUCUUUGACAUGUAGUAAGUCAGCUGUGUAGAUGGUGGGUUUCUCCAGUGUCAGGUCCCUGCCCACAGCAGGAAGAUGACCUGUGCUAGAAGAUGGGGGCUAGGGUGUUGGGGAAGACUUCAGGGACUUGGGAGAGAAAAGGAGAAAUAUUCAGAGAUGAGAAAAGUAGAAGAAAAACCAGCUUUUAAAAGGGGGAGGAGAGAGAAUGAGAAAAAUAACUACUAGAAAGGGAAGGAAAAGAUGAAUAGCCUUUUAGGUACUUCGGGACCUGCUCUGAGACCUCUUGCCUGACGCCCUUGGUUUUUGAUAGAAUUCUAGAGAAGGGGUGAGCCCUUUUGUCUGCCUGGACACAUCCUGUGGGCUUUCCUCUUUCUGAAACUCAGGUCAAGGUGUUCACUGCAUCUCCAGAUUGCUUGUGUGCAUGGGAGGAGGGGGGCAGAGAGUUCUGCUUACAUCGGCUACUGUCCCCUCCACCAGCAGCGUCUUCCAGCAAAGAAGAGCUUCUAACAUGCACCAGACUUUUAGCUUUGGCUGGGAAUAUCGUCUGGGCCAAUAAAGAGUUUUUGGAUGAAAUAACAAAA
ensembl:lncRNA ST3GAL1-DT ST3GAL1 divergent transcript